AGGAGUUGCAGCCUUCAGAUGACUGGGUUCAUGCUGUAUGACUGCUUAUUCCUCUUGAUCAGGAAGCCAGAGCAAUUCCACUGGAGACCAUCCAUCACAGAAGAGGCCAAGGAGGAUAACAGAAAAGGAAGAGUUGUCCAAUCAAACAUCGUGGAUAACACAGACUAAGAAAUGACUCCCAGAAAAUAUCACUGGAGCAAAUCAAGGAACAGUCCCUACCAUUAGUGUAGAGGAACUUGCAACUUCUGUUCAGUGGAAUAUCAGAACUGUUAUUCACCAGUGACUGGUCACUGAAUCAAGAAGAGCAGCCAGCAGACAUGAUAUAUAUUCACCAGAUUCUGGACAUCUGAGCCCAAUGCCUGAAACAUGAGAAGCAGAGCUGAAUGCUCAAUCACAGUUAUCCCAUCCAUCCAUCAGACAAGAUGGAGGUGAAGGCCUGUGCAUGGCACACAGUGCUGCCAGUCUCUGUUGGGCAUGAAGAAGUCUGAAAGAGCUCACUCUUGUACCUGACUCUGCUGGGAGGAUCUUUCCUAUGACUUACAAGGUUCUCUUCCUGCCACCUAGGUACCACCUGCAAUUGCUGGUCCAGAAUGCCCAUCCUAAAGAGAAAUGAUAGCCAGAUGGAAUCAUCCUGGGGUGUAGUAUACAAAGAUACUAUAAGAGAAAAGAUGGAAAGAGACAGAGCAUGGGGGCUAGGGAGCAGUGGUGUGGUGACAAAUUAAAAAGCAUCAGAAAUAUGCCAGAAAUGUGGCACUACAGCCCAGGCAAAAAUUAGCAUCAAGUCCAUGUAUCACCAAGAAUUCACAAAAGGUAAUGAAGCUAUUGAUUGAUGAAAUAAGAAUUUUUCCAUUGGGUUAUGAGGGCCCAGGGAAGAUAAAGUGAAAUGAUAGGUGGAAAAAACAAGCCCUUAGGGAAAUAUGAGGGUUAUUUUGGAAGCAGCACCAAGGAGAAUAGACACUGCUGAGAACACAUAAGGACAGUGGACAAGAGCGAGAAAGUGAAAUGACAAUAAACAAGAAUUGGAAGGGAAUGUAGAUAAAUGAUCAAUAAAGAAGACACAUUCAUUGGAUCCAGAA